GAAUAAGCACCUGCUAACUACGUGCCAGAAGCCUCGGUAAUACGUAGGGUGCAAGCGUUAUCCGGAUUCAUUGGGCGUAAAGUGUUGCGUAGGCGGUUUACUGCAUCUUGUUUGAAAGGCUAUGGCCUAACCAUAGUUUCGGGCAAGAAAUGAGUAAACUUGAUGGUUUAAGAGGGUACUGGAACAGAUCGUGUAGCAGUGAAAUGCGUUGAUAUGAUCUGGAACACCAAAGGCGUAGGCAGGUACCUGGGAAACCCAUGACGCUGAGGCACGAAAGCUUGGGGAGCGAAGCAGAUUAGAGACCUGCGUAGUCCAAGCCGUAAACGAUGGAUGCUAGUUACCCGAUUUUUUUGGGUGACGCAAGGUAACCCGUUAAGCAUCCCGCCUGGGGAGUACGAUCGCAAGAUUAAAACUCAAAGGAAUUGACGGGGAGGCGCACAAGCAGUGGAGCGUGUUGUUUAAUUCGAUACAAAGCGAAAAACCUCACCAGGGUUUGACAUGUAGAUGCUAAGCCUAUGAAAGUAGGCCUCCUUCGAGGGUUCUACACAGAUGCUGCAUGGCUGUCGUAAGUUCGUGGCGUGAGCUGUCCCCUUAAGUGGGCAAACGAACGAAACCCGCGCCGUAUGUUAAAUAGUUCAUACGGGACAGUCCUAAUUUUUAGGAAGGAAGGAGCGGAUGACGUCAAGUCAGCACGGCUCUUACACCCUGGGCUACAAACACCCUACAAUGGCGAAAAACAACGAGCUGCAACCUGGUAACAGGAAGCAAAUCUCUGAAAUUUCGCCUCAGUUCAGAUUGGGGGCUGCAAUUCGCCCCCAUGAAGUCGGAAUUGCUAGUAAUCGCGAAUCAGCAGGUCGCGGUGAAUACGUUCUCGCCUCUUGUACAAAAUAAAUGCGCCUGGCAGUUUAAUAAACUAGGUGGUGUAAAUCCAUCUGCCACGAAAGUGGCAUAGUUGCGGACAGGACAUCUCUGGUAACAGAAUGUCUGAAGGGUCCCAUAUACAAAAGGCAGCCUUUGCAAAAAGACUGUGACGAUCUAUCAGUGUACGAUAGAGAAGUUACAAAAAAUAAGUCGCAAGGAAUGUCGGAAACAGUUUUUUAAAUGACCCAGGGAGAUCCUAAGGCAUCAGAACAAUAAUAGGCCUUAGGAAGUCAGCUGAGUCCAUAGUAGGUAAUUGACAAGUUUAUCUAAACUUAAUAAAGUAUAGAUAGCCCAAAUAAUUACCGAAGGGAUGAACUUUAUGUUAAAUCCACAUUAUGUUACUGGAUUUGUUGAUGGAGAGGGUUGUUUUUCAAUAACCAUUUCUAAAAGACGAUUCAGAGUACCAGAAGUACGGCUUAAAUUUGAGAUUGAACUUAGAGAAGAUGAUGAACUAAUCUUGAAAGAGAUUCAAAAAACUUUAGAUUGUGGUUCCAUUUAUCGUUUAGAAUAUGAACGGUAUAAAAAAUGGAGACCGCAUGUAAAAUAUCAAGUAGGUUCAUUCAAGGAUAUUAAAGAAAAAGUAAUACCUUUCUUUAAAAAAUAUCCUCCUCUAGCUAAGAAAAGAUUUCAAUUUGAAAUAUUCUGCAAAGUAGCAGAUAUGAUGGAUUUGAAAAAGCAUAUUACCGAAGAAGGGAUUGAAGAAAUCCGUUCUUUAAGAAAGGCUUUAAAGCAUGAAGACUCGCUAUAUGCGUUAGAAGCGCACGUAUAGUGGGGAGGGAAAGGUUUCUUAUCCCGAUCACCGCCCGUCAAGGCAGCAAAGUUGGGGGCACCCGAAUAUCCCUACAGGGGUAGAAGGUGAAACCAGCGAUGAGGCUUAAGUCGUCAGUGCAAUCUGCACAAGAUGCGACCUAUGUUUGUAAAAACAUAGAAAAAAUUGGCUAAUAUCGAUGAAACCCAUAUUUUAUGGGUAAUAUCGAGGGAAGGUGUUUUCAGAAUAACUCGGAAAGACUCGGUAAACCAGAUAUUCAGAAUAUCAGAAGAUCUGAUAAUAUUAAAUUAUGAUCAAAGACGUUUCUGACUUAGAAGUUUACCAAGAAGCUUUAAGAUUAUUACCAGAAAUUUAUAGUCUAUCUAGAAGAUUGGCUAAAUCAGAAUAUGAUUUGGUACUUCAGGUUAGACGAGCUGGUAAAUCAAUAGCUGCAAAUAUAGCUGAAGGAUUUGCAAAACGAUCCUCAGAAAAAGAGUUUAAAAGAUUCUUAAAGAUUGCAAUAGGUUCUAGUGAUGAGGUAAUAACUCAUCUUAGGAUGAUUGCAAUUGUUCAACCAAACUUAUCUUUUGAGGCUAAAAGAUUAGCAGAUAAAUAUAAAGUUUUGUCAAAAAGAAUUAACUCUCUAUGCAGUCAUUGGCAAUCUGGAGGAACUUUCCGGUCCUCUGAUACUCAGACAGUCUGAGUUAUUCAGAGUCUUUCUGAAUUCAUCACCUGUAGAGACUUAUAUGGAAGGUACUGGAUAAUCCAGAAUUAAACUUUCAUUAUAUGCCAACUCCUAUUUAUAGGAUGAAGAUAUAGUCCAUGCCCUCAGUAAUGAGUGGAGUAACAUGAACAAGGUAUCCCUAGCCGAAGCUGGGGAUGGAUCACCUCCUU
rnacentral:rRNA from 1 species